rnacentral:rRNA from 1 species
UACGGAGGAUCCGAGCGUUAUCCGGAUUUAUUGGGUUUAAAGGGAGCGUAGGCGGAUGUUUAAGUCAGUUGUGAAAGUUUAAGGCUCAACCUUGAAAUUGCAGUUGAUACUGGAUAUCUUGAGUACAUUGAAUGUGGGCGGAAUUCGUGGUGUAGCGGUGAAAUGCUUAGAUAUCACGAAGAACUCCAAUUGCGAAGGCAGCUCACAGUAAUGUAACUGACGCUGAUGCUCGAAAGUGUGGGUAUCAAACAGGAUUAGAUACCCUGGUAGUCCACACAGUAAACGAUGAAUACUCGCUGUUUGCGAUAUACAGUAAGCGGCCAAGCGAAAGCGUUAAGUAUUCCACCUGGGGAGUACGCCGGCAACGGUGAA